rnacentral:rRNA from 1 species
CUACGGCGCUCCAGCAGGGAAUAUUGCACAAUGGACGGAAGUCUGAUGCAGCGACGCCGCGUGGAUGAUGAAGGCCUUCGGGUUGUAAAAUCCUUUUCAGGGAGAAGAGGAAGGACGGUAUCCCUGGAAUAAGCGUCGGCUAACUACGUGCCAGCAGCCGCGGUAAUACGUAGGACGCAAGCGUUAUCCGGAUUUACUGGGCGUAAAGCGUCUGUAGGCGGUUUAGUAAGUUUGAUGUGAAAGCUCCAGGCUCAACUUGGAGAGUGCAUUGAAUACUGCUAGACUUGAGGGGAUCAGAGGAAAGCGGAAUUUUCGGUGUAGCGGUAAAAUGCGCAGAUAUCGGAAAGAACACCAGUUGCGAAGGCGGCUUUCUGGGAUCAACCUGACGCUGAGAGACGAAAGCUAGGGUAGCGAACAGGAUUAGAUACCCGCGUAGUC